ensembl:ncRNA T21B10.10 ncRNA
CGUUAUCAAAAUGUCAAUAGUAUAGACAUACUUCUUGGAUUAAAAUAAAAAAAAUUUCAAAAUCAAUGUUUGGGAAUGAUUAGCUAUAAGAUAUUUGGAGAUCUUUUAAACUUGAGCGGAAAAUGUAAAAUUCAAACUUUACCCAAUUUAAUUUUUGAAUCCAAGGGCCUAUGAUGAAUAUAAAUUAUUUCAGAAGUAAAACAUUGGACUGAAAAGGCCUAGAGGACUGAAAAUGAAUAGGCGGUGAGGAAUACCAAAACUACGUUAAGCUGUAUUGGAUCUAGAGUUUAGAAUUCAACCUCUGCUCUUUCUUAUACUCUUUACAUUUUUCGUAUUCUUCGUCUUUUUCUAUUCAUCUGAAAUGUGAAUCCUA